rnacentral:rRNA from 1 species
UACGGGGGGGGGCAAGCGUUGUUCGGAAUUACUGGGCGUAAAGCGCGCGUAGGCGGACCUGCAAGUCGGGGGUGAAAGCCCGAGGCUCAACCUCGGAACUGCCUUCGAUACUGCGGGUCUCGAGUCCGGGAGAGGUGAGUGGAAUUCCUAGUGUAGAGGUGAAAUUCGUAGAUAUUAGGAAGAACACCAGUGGCGAAGGCGGCUCACUGGUCCGGUACUGACGCUGAGGUGCGAAAGCGUGGGGAGCAAACAGG